GGUAAAGCUACUAAGGGUGUACGGGGGAUGCCUAGGCACAUGGAGACGAUGAAGGACGUGAUAAGCUGCGAUAAGCCUCGGGUAGGUGCAAAUAACCUUAAAUCCGGGGAUUUCCGAAUGGGGAAACCCACCCAGAUUAAUCUCUGGGAACUACCGCUUGAAUAUAUAGGGCGGAUAGAGUCAACGGAGUGAACUGACACAUCUAAGUAACUCCAGGAAUAGAAAAUAAAAAUGAUUCCCUAAGUAGCGGCGAGCGAACAGGGAAGAGCCUAAACCAUCAACGUGUCAAGCUUACAGGCGUUGCGCUGAUGGUGUUGUGGGGCAAAUUUCGAGUUAACUGCAAUUAGCUCAGUGAGUCAAAAAUUCGAUGGUUAGGUGAACGGUCUGGAAAGUCCGAUCAUAGAAGGUGAAAAUCCUGUAACCGAAAACCUGCGAACUCGCUUGAUUUGUUCCCAAGUAGCGCGGGACACGAGAAAUCUUGUGUGAAUCUGCCGGGACCAUCCGGUAAGGCUAAAUACUCCCAUGUGACCGAUAGUGAACUAGUACCGUGAGGGAAAGGUGAAAAGUACUCCUAACGGAGAGUGAAAUAGAACCUGAAACCGUAUACCUACAAGCGGUCGGAGCUCCACUUCGGUGGGGUGACGGCGUGCCUUUUGCAUAAUGAGCCAGCGAGUUGCUCGUACGUCGCAAGGUUAAGAAUGGACAUUCGAAGCCGAAGCGAAAGCGAGUCUGAACAGGGCGUUCAG
rnacentral:rRNA from 1 species